UCCAACACGAGCAACGGUUCUCCAGAGAAACCACCAGUGGGGAAAUGUGGAAAACGCUUAACAUCUGGGGCUAAGGAGGAGCUAAUCUGUCCGCUUGGAAAUUCUGCCUUUCCUUGUGAAAGGAUAGUUAAUUUCGAGUAAUUUCUUUCUAAGCAGGCACUUUCGGGAUUGGAAAUAGCUCAUUCCGAAUGCUUCGUCGGGAAAGUGAAGAGCUAUAGAGAUAUCUGGGUCAGAUGCCCAGAAAAGAAUAUUUCUGCCGUUACAACGGAUGGAGCGACCGCCGGCAGAAGAAUCUGGAGAGGCUGAGUGGUACCUGUGAAGCGCUUACUGUGUCUCAGACACUGUAGUAAGCUCAGGAAAUAUGGCAACGGCGGGAAAGGACAGUCGCAAGCUCAGCUCCUUUUAGCAAGGGGUUUCCCCCUCCCGCCCCAGGGGGUCCAGGCUGAAAUAAAUUGGAGACACGCAAUGGAGAAUAAUGCAAAUUCAAUCUGUGACAGCAAAAAGCGAGAACUACCAAUGAAAUAAACUGGUAUCGGCCUGA